AAAAUGGAUCAUAAUAUAUUGUGGUAUAUAGUUAUAUGGUGUAAUGGAUUUUUGAGUCGACAUUAAUAAAUUUUAUAAUAUCAUUAAUCUACCGCUUCAAUACGGAUUGAAUUUUUAUUUUAUUAUUUUCUAACAUUACCAAAUUCUAAUUACGGUCUUUUCUUCUUCGAUGUUUAUAUUUCAUUUGAUUGUCAUCCCCGAACAAAAUUUAUUUUAUAUCAUUCACCAAUUUUUCAAUUCGUCCCCAAAUACUUGUCUUCUCCCUACAUAUUGUAUUUU
rnacentral:sRNA from 1 species